GAUGAAGAACGCAGCGAAAUGCGAUAAGUAAUGUGAAUUGCAGAAUUCAGUGAAUCAUCGAAUCUUUGAACGCACAUUGCGCCCGCCGGCACUCCGGCGGGCAUGCCUGUCCGAGCGUCAUUUCAACCCUCGGGCCCACCCUUCGCGGGGAACGGGCCCGGCGUUGGGGACCGGAGGCCGCCUCGGCGGCACCCGCCCCCUAAAUUCAGUGGCGGUCGCGCCGCAGCCUCCCCUGCGUAGUAGCACACCUCGCACCGGAGAGCGGCACGGCCACGCCUCGAAACCCCCCAAUUUUUUCAGGUUGACCUCGGAUCAGGUAGGAAUACCCGCUGAACUUAAGCAUAUCAAUAAGCGGAGGA
rnacentral:misc_RNA from 1 species